CACGUGAAGCAGCGUGGCUUCUGGGAGGUGGGCUCGGCGAGGACGGACAGACGGCGUCCUCCUCUCACAGCCGCAUGGCAGAGCUGGAGUGCGAUCAGAUCCGUGGUCACGAUCACGGCACCCCUUCUCUGGCUGAGAGCCCCAUAGAGCCUCUGAUCAAGGCCAGGGACCCCACCCCAGAGAAAGGCACACACUCGGCUGCAACUCCAGCUGUGGAGAGCCCCGUGCCCUGGCCACAGAGGCAUGGCCCACGUUUGCGACGGCUGGCCCCGAUUCUCCCAGCUUUGGCGUGCUCCAGCCCCAUCUUGUUUGGGGUGGUGCUGGCUUGGGGGAAGAGCAGGGCAAUAUGUGCUUCAAGGACAAGAAGAUACGUAGCCCAGGAGAAACAACCAGGACGCCGAGAGGAAGCCCAUGUAGCCACACGCAGGAGGACCAAGGCCCCAGGCCGCCAGCCCCGCCAGCUCCCAGCUGUCAGCCAGCACCAACUUGCCAGCAUUGGGAGCAAGGCCUCAGCUGAUGUCACGAAGGGUGGAGAGGAGCUGUCCCCCAGGCCCGGGCCCAAACUGUGAAAUCCUGAGUCAAUAAAUGAUGAUUUCCGUUUUAAACCGCUAACAUUGGGGCUGGUUGGUUACACAACGACAGAGGACCGCAGCAGCCCCCACCCCUUGCUCCGUGCACGCUCCAGUUCUGCAGAUGCCCCUCACACCCUGUCACAGACCGAAUGUUUGUGUCCCCCCAGCUUCCUAUGUUGACGCCCUGGGCCCCAGGUGGCAGUGUCUGGAGACGGGGCCUGUGAGGAGGUGCCGAAGGCUAACUGAGGCCAUGAGGGUGGGGCCCUAACUCGGUAGGACCAGUGCUCUGACAAGAGGAAGGGACACGAGAGCUCUCUCUCCACCACGUGAGGACGUGGGGAGAAGGCACCCGCCAGGAGGAGGGGUCCCCCAGAACCCCGCCCUGCCAGACGCUGCUCUGGGGCUUGCAGCCUCCAGCACUGUGGGAAAAUGAACUUCUGUGGUUCACGUGGCCCCGUCUCUGGCCCUCUGUUGUGUCGGCCGAGCUGAGGGAGGCCCCCAGCCUCAAAGCCCCUGCCCACGCCUCCUCCCGCCAGGUUGUUCCGCGUAGCUAACGCCGGCCAUCGUCCCUCUCAGCAGACGCGUCUCCAUGCAGGGGCACCGCUGACCGGCCUGCACACCCUCGGCCAGGCCUCCCCGUCCAUCCCUGUCUGAGCAGCCGGCCCCUCCCCACCCCACAGGCCGGUCUGCCGCUGAUCCUCCUGGAGGACGCUGCCCCUCCCUGAGCUCAGCACGGGACCUGCACACACGCGCUCCCUUUCAGAGGAGACAGCGGCCUGCCCAGGAAGGGCAGAGCACCUUUGGACCCAGAAGUUCUGCUCCCAGGUAUAGACGCCAGUGAAGCGUGGGACUCGGCCCUGAGCUGGAAUGGGCCCGCGUGUCUCUAUGGGACAGUGCGUGCAUGUGGCCCACCCACACAAGGGACGCUAAACAGUCGUGGGAACACACGCACCCUGGGCACCCCGAGCAGCCGGGUGAGUCGCCCAGGGAGCCAGUCCCCAAACAGGGCGCGCAUCACGGUCCACGUGAAUGAGGAAAAACGGGCAAAACGCCACGCCUCAGCUGAGGGUGCCCCCCGGGGAGCCAGACUGUGAGGCCGAGCAGGGACACGGCUGUCACAGAAGUCAAGCACCAGUCGCCCCAGGGAGAGGGGCUGUUGUCAGGAGGAACACGAGUGCUUCUGGGCGGCUGGAAAGGUCCUGUUUCCUGACGUGGGAGGUGAAUACAGACGUCUAUACCAGCCGAAUCUUUAAACUGUAUGCACACGCGUAGGCAUACGCAUGCGUAGAUGUUGUGUGUGUCUUCUGUGUGUAUGUCACAAUUUGAAAACGGAAAAAUGAGCAAUGGUCCACCACAGUGAUGGAUUAUCAUUUUACGAAGGGGGAGAGAGCCCCCGCUUUGCUCCUUGCACGUCUAGGCCGGUUGUCGCAGGGGAACCGCCGGCCACCCCCGGCAGCACCCAAGCCCCCGCACUCUCUCCGGCAGCAAACGAGACCCAAAGCAGGGAGUUCCCAGCGAUGUGUGUCCCAGCGGCCUGAAUGGAAGCCCCUUGUUCUAGAAGGACACUGGACUCCCGUCCAGCAAUUCCAGGUGGGGGUCGGUGCCCAGCACACCACCCCCUGUGCUGGCAGAUGACAGAAGACCGGAAUGGCGGGCAGAAACUCGUGCUGUCUCCAUAGCCCAGGGGCCAGGGACAAGGUGCAGACAGCUCUCUGUCACCUGGACGGCUCUCCAAGGCCACUCUCAGGGAGCCUGAAGGAAAGCAAGCCCCGGACAGGGAGGAAGGGCGAGCCGGGAACAGCGGGAGAGGGUGCUUGUCGUCGUUUUGUUUUCCAUUCCAUCCCAGCCGCGGGGGGAGGAAAGCAGGCGGGGCGUGUGUGCGUGUGCGUGUUCGUGUGUGUGUGCACGUGUGUGCGUGUGUGUGUGUGCACCUCGAUCUCCAUCUUCAUCUCUCCCCGGGGAAGCCAGCUCCCGGCCUGUGAGCGGCCCUGUGGAGAGGCCCACGUGGGGAGGACCCGACGCCUCCUGCCCCCAGCCACAUACGGGAGCUGAGAGGGAGACUCCCCGCCUGGGAUAACGCGGCCCCUGCCGACAUCCUGACCGACCCCUCGACAGCCGUGAGUCAGAGCCGCCCAGCCCUGCUGCCCCUGGGCUCCUGGCCCACACAGCCCAGAUGAUAAACAUGGGCUGCUGUCGUUCAUCCCCCAGCAGGAGACAGACCCCUCCUCGGAGCCUGUCUACCGUCCCCUGCAUGGCAGCCCUCAUUCAGGGCCCCUGGAGCCGUCUUGCUUAUGGCUGCUUACCGUCUCUGCCUUCCUCGUUAGAGGGAACCCCCCGCAAGGACAGGGGAUCUGUAGGUUCACAGUAGGGUCCCCAGUGCCACGACAGCACAGAGGUUGCUUGACAAAUGGCCAAGGUGCAGCAAUGCAGCAAACCAGGAGCCCCAUUGCUCUGACGUCCCGUGUCUGAGAGGCGGGAACACGCCAGNNNNNNNNNNNNNNNNNNNNNNNNNGGAACAAGCACGGGCCCUGAGUCAGGCCUCCCCGGUCCCAGCCCCAGCCCCGGCCCCAAGGGACCUCAGAGUCACCCAACCUGGAGGAGCCUCGGUUUCCACAUCUGUGCACUGGGGAUGAUAGUAACAGUUAGCCCACAGGAGCUGUAAGGAAACAAGACACACCCCUGGCACAGAGCAGCUGAUCAAUCAAGCUGCCUCUCUCACCCUGUCUGAAGGUGUCACAUGAGAAUGUGAGCUCCCUGCCGCUAGGCGGCAAGCCACUGCUCAGGGGCAGACCUGCAGUGAAGGAGGGCAGCUGACAUCUGUAGUAGAGGAUGCGUCCCCAUGCGCCAGAGCCAGCAUCCUCGUGCGCCCAGCAGAGCAGGCUCCAGGGGACAGUUGGCUCUGUGAACCCAGGACAAAGCUGGCCCCAACCUCACACACUAACAGCGACCCACGGCAGAGUCCCGUUUACGCCAAGGGUGGCACAUUCAGAGGAUGCCCUUGAAUCCCAUGGAGAUUCAUCACCAGUCGCAGGGCCGAUGGAGCACUGAAUGACAU
ensembl:lncRNA